GAUGAACGCUGGCGGCGUGCCUAACACAUGCAAGUCGAACGAAGAGGCCUCUUCGGAGGUACUUCAGUGGCGGACGGGUGAGUAACACGUAGGUGACCUACCCCGAAGUGGGGAAUAACAGUCCGAAAGGAUUGCUAAUACCCCAUGUGAUCGAUGAGGUUAGAGUCUUGUCGAUUAAAGCAGUAAUGUGCUUCGGGAGGGGCCUGCGCCCCAUCAGCUAGUUGGUAGGGUAAUGGCCUACCAAGGCUACAACGGGUAGGGGGCCUGAGAGGGUGACCCCCCACAUUGGCACUGACACACGGGCCAAACUCCUACGGGUGGCAG
rnacentral:rRNA from 1 species